UUUGGAAAGAAGCUAGGAAAAGAAAGAACAAAGCAAGGCCUUUUCUUUUUGACACGUCAGCUAAUAUAUAUUUAUAACUAAGAAUGGGGUAUCGCGGUGGGCGUACACAUGUGUUUGUCAUGGUCACAUGCUUCAUUGGGUAACCUUAACGUCCUACCAGAUCCUCUUCUUUUACGGGUGGGACCCUUCAGAUCCUCCGGCACAAUUUGCAAACCAACAAAACAAGGUAUCAUCUCAUGGGCUCACACUCACCUCUCUGACUCUCUCUUCUUUUUCUGCAAUGUACAAGAACCCUUGCCUACACCCUUCUAGAUCUCUCUCUUCCAAGCUAUCAUAUUCUUUCUUCUUCCUCCAGCAAUUCACGAAGUGGGAUUUCGUCUGCUGCCUUCUUAUAAUAUACUUUUUCUUCUUCUCAGUUGGCCCUGUCAUUCUCUUUGGCUCUUUCACAAGCAACUCUUAUGCGAGAUUGUUUGUUUAGGGUCAAAUAUUACAUAGGAAGUUUUUAUCAAUUUUGUUGCUGACACCCUUAUAAUACUCCACAACCAUGAUUCCUUCAUCACCUGCUACUCAACACCCAAUGUCCACAAUAAUUCCCAAAACCCCAAAUUUAUGUUUAUAUCCUCCCAAGUUAUCUCACGUCCACCUGAAACCAAUUAAAUGCUCUUUUCAAAAUCAAAAUCCCAACACCAUCAAUAGGCUCGCUAAACCCAGAACCCAUCUUUUUGGGGUAAUUACACCAAGACCAGUCUUUCCCCAGAAAGGCAACGCGAGCAGGGGACAUGAGGAGAAGAGAAGUUUUGCCCAAGUGGGUAGUCAGCAGAUGGCUGUAUUAUGUGGGUUUGGGUAUUGGAUGCAGGGUUUUAGGUGCUUUCCAUGGUUGGCUCUCAACUUCCACAUGACCUACAAUCUCAAUCUGCACCCAUCAAUAUUGCAGCUUGUGCAACACUCGGCUAACCUUCCUAUGGUGGCCAAGCCUCUAUAUGGAAUCCUCUCUGAUGCUAUAUACAUUGGUGGUGCUCAUAGAAUACCUUAUAUUCUUAUCGGGGUCUUGUUGCAGGCCCUAUCUUGGGGGCCUUUGGGAUUUGUCCCAGUUGCUCGUGAAGUCCUUCCUACUCUUCUGGCUUGCAUUCUUCUUGGUAAUCUUGGCGCAUCACUCACAGAAGUUGCAAAGGAUGCUCUUGUUGCAGAGUAUGGACAAAAACAUAAAAAGAGAGGCCUCCAGUCCUAUGCAUUUAUGGCUUCAGCUUUGGGUGGAAUCCUAGGCAACUUACUUGGUGGUUGCUUCUUAUUGAAAAUGCCACCACAAAACAUGUUCAUCAUAUUUGUCUUUCUAUUAUUUAUUGAACUUGCAAUUUCACAAACAGUUAGGGAAGAGUCUCUUGGUUUAGCACAACUAUCACAUCACAAUCUUGCAAAGAAAUCCAUCUGGGAGAAUAUCAGGAAACAGCUAAAUGGUCUUAAAAUGGCAUUAGGUGAGGAAUCUAUCUCUUGGCCUCUUAUUUGGGUCGUAGCUUCCAUUGCCACAGUCCCAGCUCUCUCAGGUUCUAUUUUUUGCUAUCAAAUGCAAUGUCUACAUCUUGAUCCUUCCGUUAUAGGAAUGUCACGAGUAAUUGGGCAGUUGAUACUUCUUUCUAUGACUAUACUUUAUGACCGUUACUUGAAAGAAGUGCCCAUGAGGAAAUUGAUAGGUGCAGUGCAAUUCCUGUAUGCUGCUUCUCUUCUGCUUGACUUUGUUCUAGUGAGACAAAUCAAUCUUAGAUUUGGGAUUCCCAAUGAGAUAUUUGUUUGUUGUUUUUCGGGUAUAGCAGACACUCUCGCACAAUUUAAGCUUCUUCCCUUUUCAGUAUUACUGGCAAAUUUGUGUCCCAGGGGUUGUGAAGGUUCUCUCACUUCUUUCUUAGCAUCAACAUUGUGUCUGUCAUCAAUUUUUGGUGGAUUUUUGGGCGUUGGAUUAGCUUCCCUUAUGGGAGUAACAGCUGGCAAUUACUUAAACCUGCCUGUCCAAAUUUUGAUACAAUUUGUUGCAGCGUUAUUGCCUUUGGUAUGGAUUCAGCUUGUACCGUCCCAACCCAUUGUUGAGAAGCACAGAAAGAAAGGUUUAAGUAAAAGAACUCGAAAAAACAGAAGGAUCGGAAGAAUGGUCUUAGGCUCCAUUUGUGUUCAUCGACGAGAAAGAGAAUCUGAGACACGAAGGUAGUGACUUUCUUGGCAAAACAGUGGUAUAUAUUCUAUGAAAAGGAGCAAAAUUUUGGAAUGCUUGUAUUAUUGAUGUGCUCCAAGGGUUGAUACGCUACCUGAGAAAGUGAAGAAUAUAACUGUAUCAAGUUCCAUCAGUUUGUAAUGGUUAUUUCAGCGAGAAGCCCAGAACUCAGUUUCGAACCGUCUGUCAAAUGAUUUAAACGUGCAAAAGGCAGCCAAUUCAUUCAACAGCAUUACUGCUCUUCACAUCUGCGUUCAUCUCUGUGCUCCAUUAAGUAUGAAGUUCUAUUAUUAGUAUAUUUUUUAUGGGUAUCAAGACCUGCUUUUAAUUCACCAUGCUGCAUGGAGUUCGAUUGCCGGUGCCCGGAGGUAAAUCUGCUGCCAUUGAGAUCAUCAAUCAGGCAGCGCUAGUGAUGGCAAUCAAGCAGGAAGAAGGCGACAACCAGAAUUGCUGAGGAUGACUUGAUAACUGAGCAAUUGAGCGCAUCUCACAAGUCAAAGAUAUUCCAAUACACCACUACACAAAUUUACAGAAGCCGCAAGUACAGAAGCUCAUCAUACAGCUGACCUGAAAUGGCUGGGCCAGUCCGAGAGGAUUGUGCACCGUUCACCCGCAAGUUGCAGGAGCAUAAUUUCAAAUCAAUCCUAGGAAUCUCUUUUCUAAGAGGCUAUUUGAACAAAUAUCAGAUGAAGUCUUUUCCAAGCUACGGACGCUUUCCAAGAUUAUUCCAUUUGCUCGUAAAAGUCUGUCAUUAGAUCCUAUAAUCUCCUUGAAAUUACGAUCAACCGAAUCUGUAUAUCCCGCUGUAACAACGUUGCCAGAACUGGCAUUUCACCAAACAGGUUCAAACAUUGUCUAAAUUCCCAGACAUAAGAGAACAGCCGAAAAUAUUACAUCCGCUUUUCCCGUGAAUCAGUUUUCCUGCUUUCAGGUCACCGAACUCAC